UUGGAAAUCAUUUAAUGGAGAAAGUAGUUCAGGGACGAUUGAGGUCAAUGGUAUAUUGGGACAAAAUACAACAUGUUUUACAA